UACGUAGGGGGCAAGCGUUGUCCGGAUUUACUGGGCGUAAAGCGCGCGUAGGUGGAACGUUAAGUCCGGUCUGAAAGCCCCGGGCUCAACCUGGGAACCGCGCUUGAGACUGGCACGCUAGAGUUCGGGAGAGGAUGGUGGAAUUCCCAGUGUAGAGGUGAAAUUCGUAGAUAUUGGGAAGAACACCGAUGGCGAAGGCAGCCAUCUGGACCGACACUGACGCUGAGGCGCGAAAGCGUUGGGAGCAAACAGG
rnacentral:rRNA from 1 species